CGUACACAAAAAUGCACAUGCUGUGAGCUCGAUGAGUAGGGCGGGACACGUGGUAUCCUGUCUGAAUAUGGGGGGACCAUCCUCCAAGGCUAAAUACUCCUGACUGACCGAUAGUGAACCAGUACCGUGAGGGAAAGGCGAAAAGAACCCCGGCGAGGGGAGUGAAAAAGAACCUGAAACCGUGUACGUACAAGCAGUGGGAGCACAGAGCAAUCUGUGUGACUGCGUACCUUUUGUAUAAUGGGUCAGCGACUUAUAUUCUGUAGCAAGGUUAACCGAAUAGGGGAGCCGAAGGGAAACCGAGUCUUAACUGGGCGUUAAGUUGCAGGGUAUAGACCCGAAACCCGGUGAUCUAGCCAUGGGCAGGUUGAAGGUUGGGUAACACUAACUGGAGGACCGAACCGACUAAUGUUGAAAAAUUAGCGGAUGACUUGUGGCUGGGGGUGAAAGGCCAAUCAAACCGGGAGAUAGCUGGUUCUCCCCGAAAGCUAUUUAGGUAGCGCCUCGUGAAUUCAUCUCCGGGGGUAGAGCACUGUUUCGGCAAGGGGGUCAUCCCGACUUACCAACCCGAUGCAAACUGCGAAUACCGGAGAAUGUUAUCACGGGAGACACACGGCGGGUGCUAACGUCCGUCGUGAAGAGGGAAACAACCCAGACCGCCAGCUAAGGUCCCAAAGUCAUGGUUAAGUGGGAAACGAUGUGGGAAGGCCCAGACAGCCAGGAUGUUGGCUUAGAAGCAGCCAUCAUUUAAAGAAAGCGUAAUAGCUCACUGGUCGAGUCGGCCUGCGCGGAAGAUGUAACGGGGCUAAACCAUGCACCGAAGCUGCGGCAGCGACGCUUAUGCGUUGUUGGGUAGGGGAGCGUUCUGUAAGCCUGUGAAGGUGUACUGUGAGGUAUGCUGGAGGUAUCAGAAGUGCGAAUGCUGACAUAAGUAACGAUAAAGCGGGUGAAAAGCCCGCUCGCCGGAAGACCAAGGGUUCCUGUCCAACGUUAAUCGGGGCAGGGUGAGUCGACCCCUAAGGCGAGGCCGAAAGGCGUAGUCGAUGGGAAACAGGUUAAUAUUCCUGUACUUGGUGUUACUGCGAAGGGGGGACGGAGAAGGCUAUGUUGGCCGGGCGACGGUUGUCCCGGUUUAAGCGUGUAGGCUGGUUUUCCAGGCAAAUCCGGAAAAUCAAGGCUGAGGCGUGAUGACGAGGCACUACGGUGCUGAAGCAACAAAUGCCCUGCUUCCAGGAAAAGCCUCUAAGCAUCAGGUAACAUCAAAUCGUACCCCAAACCGACACAGGUGGUCAGGUAGAGAAUACCAAGGCGCUUGAGAGAACUCGGGUGAAGGAACUAGGCAAAAUGGUGCCGUAACUUCGGGAGAAGGCACGCUGAUAUGUAGGUGAAGUCCCUCGCGGAUGGAGCUGAAAUCAGUCGAAGAUACCAGCUGGCUGCAACUGUUUAUUAAAAACACAGCACUGUGCAAACACGAAAGUGGACGUAUACGGUGUGACGCCUGCCCGGUGCCGGAAGGUUAAUUGAUGGGGUCAGCGCAAGCGAAGCUCUUGAUCGAAGCCCCGGUAAACGGCGGCCGUAACUAUAACGGUCCUAAGGUAGCGAAAUUCCUUGUCGGGUAAGUUCCGACCUGCACGAAUGGCGUAAUGAUGGCCAGGCUGUCUCCACCCGAGACUCAGUGAAAUUGAACUCGCUGUGAAGAUGCAGUGUACCCGCGGCAAGACGGAAAGACCCCGUGAACCUUUACUAUAGCUUGACACUGAACAUUGAGCCUUGAUG
rnacentral:rRNA from 1 species